rnacentral:rRNA from 1 species
UGACCGAGUGGUGAAGCGGGCCUCUGUUCACAAGCUCGCGCUCUGGGAUGGGUCUGCGUCCCAUCAGCUAGUUGGUGAGGUAAUGGCUCACCAAGGCAUCGACGGGUAGCUGGUCUGAGAGGAUGACCAGCCACACUGGAACUGAGACACGGUCCAGACUCCUACGGGAGGCAGCAGUGGGGAAUCUUGCGCAAUGGGCGAAAGCCUGACGCAGCGACGCCGCGUGGGUGAUGAAGGCCUUCGGUUGUAAGCCUGUGGGAGGAACGAACCGUACGGGGCGGAACGACCCUCCGUACCUGACGGUACCUCCUUAGCAAGCAUCGGCUAACUCUGUG